rnacentral:rRNA from 1 species
ACGGCGCACGGGUGCGUAACACGUGGGCAAUCUGCCCUUCGAUGGGGAAUAACUCCGGGAAACCGAAGCCAAUUCCGCAUAACAUUCCUUGGACCCCGGUUCGAGGAUUCAAAGCCGUAAGGCGUCGAAGGAGGAGCCCGCGCCCGAUUAGCUAGUUGGUAGGGUAACGGCCUACCAAGGCUUUGAUCGGUAGCUGGUCUGAGAGGAUGGCCAGCCACACUGGAACUGAGACACGGUCCAGACUCCUACGGGAGGCAGCAGUGGGGAAUCUUGCGCAAUGGGCGAAAGCCUGACGCAGCGACGCCGCGUGGGGGAUGAAGCAUCUCGGUGUGUAAACCCCUUUCGACUGGGACGAAUGCCUCGCAAGAGGAGUGACGGUACCAGUAGAAGAAGCCCCGGCUAACUACGUGCCAGCAGCCGCGGUAAGACGUAGGGGGCCAGCGUUGUUCGGAAUUACUGGGUGUAAAGGGUCAGUAGGCGGUGUGGCAAGUCGGGAGUGAAAUCUAUGGGCUCAACCCAUAGGCUGCUUCCGA